rnacentral:tRNA from 1 species
GGAGAAUUGGCUGAGUGGUCGAAGGCAGCUGGUUGCUAACCAGACGGCUGGCGUUAAGUCGGUCCAAGGGUUCAAAUCCCUUAUUCUCCU